UACGUAGGGGGCAAGCGUUGUCCGGAUUUAUUGGGCGUAAAGAGCGUGUAGGCGGCCUGGUAGGUCUGCUGUGAAAACUCGAGGCUCAACCUCGAGAUGUCGGCGGAAACCAUCUGGCUAGAGUCCGGAAGAGGAGAGUGGAAUUCCUGGUGUAGCGGUGAAAUGCGCAGAUAUCAGGAAGAACACCCGUGGCGAAGGCGGCUCUCUGGGACGGUACUGACGCUGAGACGCGAAAGCGUGGGGAGCGAACAGG
rnacentral:rRNA from 1 species